rnacentral:lncRNA from 1 species
AUGUAUUUCAAUAACGUUGAGCGUAAUGGAUUACGAUCCCACUGCUGCCUGAUUGAUUCGUUUCCCCGCUUUAUGAACGACACAGAUCCGGCCACCGCCGCUCGUCCUGACUGGGAAAACCAUUUUAAUGACAGUCUGCGGCUUCGCUUCGCCGUUCAGCGCGCGAGCCUUCUGUCGGUCGCGUGCGGCCCUACGGCGGCUGCGUCGACGCCGAUCCCCGCGGGACCCUCACGGACGUGGAGGGCCGUUUUUGUCUCGAGCGCGUCGAUAUCAAGUGGCACGCGCCUCGUCGUCACGGCCCGCAGCUGUGGCGAGAAGAGAUGCGGACGACCGCGGGGGCUCGCGUUUUACAUUCCGCCCGCUCGCCGCGGGAAAUUAGACAUUCAUCAAACGCGUAGGAAGCGUAAUUAUAACUUAAAGACACAAGGUUACAGUGGGUUCCUAGAAAAUAAUCCGCCAGCCGUCACUGCCCACGCUGACACCAGCAGACUGUGCUGUGGCUCAUUGCCAGUCGUGUUCCUGCGGUGGGUCCGUGGGGGUCCCGGCGCCAUAUUGAGAUCCGUUCGGGACCGGAAAAAGCCGAGCCACUUGCCGUAUUUGUAUUCAGGGGCCAGAGUCAGAGUCUGCAGGGUCCGCCUUCGUGUGGCCGCUGCGUCGGCAGCGUUGGAGGACGACCAGACGCGGGGAAUCACAAGUGGAAGCGAGGCCACCGCCAAGUUCUAUGUUGCUGCUCAUUGGCUGGACUCACCUGUCCUACACUACACCAGUAGGCCUGUCAACAGGAAGGCGUCCCUCCUUCAGAUCAGCCAUGUAGAACAGGACGACCCGGGGGCUGAUGAGGACGCCGCCACUGAUGGAGGGACUCGUGCUCGGCUGAGCUGGACUUUUAAAGGCAUUAACGCUCUUCGGGAGCCAAAGGAAGAUUUGUUAGCAAAGUUGUGAGUCCACACUGUCGUGGAAAUGUUUGUUUGGACACGUGCAGUCCUUUGCCUGAAACUGCAGCUUUGCUGCGCAGAUAAAUCACUAGACACCUUUUAUAGUUUGUGCUAUGGACUAUGGAGAAUAGCUUUUUCUGGAGCUUUGAGUAUAUAACUGCUGCUCUAUUUAUCAUUGGACUGUAAUUUAAGUAAUUAGGGCAGUGAUAAAUCUAUUUCUUUAAAAUGUUCAGGGACAGUCUUGAACAGAGGUUCGAGCUGCACUGCAGCGUCCUCGGCUUGUUUCCCUUUGAGUUGUGGGGGCAUCCUUGGCUACGAAACCUGAAAAUGCAGAUUUGGCGCCUCGCUUCGUGUCGGGCAAAGCGCUAGCUGUUGUUUAGCGCUUCCGCGUCAGCUCGAGCUCCGCAUCAAACGUGCCCUAACCCAUAUUUUGGAGGCAGUUGGUAGCUGCGCCGGCGCCGGCGUCCUCUGAGGCGCGCCCCAGAUGAGACACAGCACAUACCUGGCGGGGCCUCCGUGGGACGCGGGCUCUCUGACGGGGAGGGGAAGAUUGACGCGUGAGCAUUAUUUUUCACAGGAAAGUGUCAAGCAGGCUCUUAUGUGAUAUGGAGGCAUGUGAAGGGCUGUCCUCCACCUCCUCCCCCCCUCCUCGCCUCUCAUGUCUCUCUUUUUUUUUAACACCUCUGCUAUUCAACCAGGCCUCUGAGCAUUUAAAUGAUCAGAAUUCUGCAACAUGGCUGUCUGCCCUCGCGCUGUCAAAUUUGGACCGAUAUGUUUCAGCAAGUGAGAGAGGUAGACAUGGACCAUACACAUACAUUACACAGAUCUGUACGCGCGCACACACACACACACACACACACACACACACACACACAGAUUUGCCCACAAGUCCGGCGUCACUUCUCCAGACAGGCAAACGCCUCUCGGCAUACCCGCCAGUUGAGCCAGGCAGAAAAGUGUAAAAAUGUGCUCCUCAGUGGAGAUGCAGUCAGUCAUACAGCUGUCGAGAAGCAGCAGUUAUCUGUUCAGAUGGAGACUAGAGGGCAAAAGGCCAGAGUCGUUUUAUUCCACUUUCACUCAUUCGUCAACUAUAAAAUCUAAACCCAACAACCUUUUGUCAUUGUGUGUUUUAGAGGAAAUAACUGUACUUAAGGAGCCUCGGUGGCGUUAUUAAUAAAAAAAAAAACAAAAACUCA